AUUGAACGCUGGCGGCAGGCCUAACACAUGCAAGUCGAACGAGUGGCGGACGGGUGAGGAAUGUCUGGGAAAAUGCCUGAGGGAGGGGGAUAACUACUGGAAACGGUAGCUAAUACCGCAUACCAUCGGAUGUGCCCAGAUGGGAUUAGCGAGUAGGUGGGGUAACGGCUCAACUAGGAGACGAUCCCUAGCUGGUCUGAGAGGCUGACCAGCCACACUGGAACUUAGACACGGUCCAGACUCCUACGGGAGGCAGCAGUGGGGAAUAUUGCACAAUGGGCGCAAGCCUGAUGCAGCCAUGCCGCGUGUAUGAAGAAGGCCUUCGGGUUGUAAAGUACUUUCAGCGGGGAGGCGUUACCCGCAGAAGAAGCACCGGCUAACUCCGUGCCAGCAGCCGCGGUAAUUC
rnacentral:rRNA from 1 species